GAUUAACCUCUCUUAGGUAUGUGUAGAAGUGUAGGGAAAUAAUUGUUGUAAGCUUUUGCAAUGUAUAAAAUCUUAUAAAAGCUUCUAAAAAAGUUCUCAAAAGUUAUUAAAGUAGCAUUUGAAUUAAAAAUUGUUUUAAGGUUUGAAGUGAAAAUUAGCAAAACCUUAGGGUCUCUUGUGUACUUUAUCCCGACAUGAAACCUACGAACAAAAUUGCAAGGAAGGAUCUGGCGAUUUGCCACAGGUGCUCUGGAAAAAGUUCCGAGAUUAGGGUUUAGGGUUUAUAAUCGGGGGAAAUGGGAACUCGAGAUUUUGAUGUGAAGAAGCUCUUAAACGACAAGAAAUUCUGGCUCGCUUCUUUUCUCAUCGGUUGGGCUGCUGCUCUUCAGUUAUGGUUGUAGGGGCAUAUGAUGUGGUUACAGAGGCAAGAUUCCUUCAAGCAGAAGUUUGGAACCCUAGACGAUCAAAUCACUGACGAUCGACAGGAUUCAACUCACGCUUCAUAACCAAUUGGGAACUACUGCAAUCAAUUCGACUACUCAUAGUAAUCUUUCUUUCUCAUCUCGAAUUAAGGGGCUAACACUAUGACAUGAUUUUCUUUAUUCACUUACUGCUUUUUUGUUGUAUUUUGAUGCUUUUAAUUUUGUGAAUAAAAAUAAUGUUUGGGUUUCA